GUUGACAGAGAGGAGAUAGAAUGAAGAGAGAGAGAGAGAGAGUAGGGAAGGACAGAGAGGAGAUAUAAUGAAGAGAGAGAGAGAGAGAGAGAGAGAGGGAGUAGGGGCUGACAGAGAGGAGAUAGAAUGAAGAGAGAGAGGGAAGGAGUAGGGGCUGACAGAGAGGAGAUAGAAUGAAGAGAGAGGGGGAAGUAAGGGGCUGACAGAGAGGAGAUAGAAUGAAGAGAGAGAGAGGGAGUAGGGGCUGACAGAGAGGAGAUAGAAUGAAGAGAGAGAGGGAGUAGGGGCAGACAGAGAGGAGAUAGAAUGAAGAGAGCGAGAGAGGGAGUAGGGGCUGACAGAGAGGAGAUAGAAUGAAGAGAGAGAGAGGGAGUAGGGCUGACAGAGAGGAGAUAGAAUGAAGAGAGAGAGAGGGAGUAGGGGUUGACAGAGAGGAGAUAGAAUGAAGAGAGAGAGGGGGAGUAGGGACUGACAGAGAGGAGAUAGAAUGAAGAGAGAGAGAGGGAGUAGGGGUUGACAGAGAGGAGAUAGAAUGAAGAGAGAGAGAGAGUAGGGGCUGACAGAGAGGAGAUAGAAUGAAGAGAGAGAGAGAGAGAGAGGGAGUAGGGGCUGACAGACAGGAGAUAGAAUGAAGAGAGAGAGAGGGAGUAGGGGCUGACAGAGAGGAGAUAGAAUGAAGAGAGAGAGAGAGAGUAGGGGCUGACAGAGAGGAGAUAGAAUGAAGAGAGAGAGAGGGAGUAGGGGCUGACAGAGAGGAGAUAGAAUGAAGAGAGAGAGAGAGGGAGUAGGGGCUGACAGAGAGGAGAUAGAAUGAAGAGAGAGAGAGGGAGUAGGGGUUGACAGAGAGGAGAUAGAAUGAAGAGAGAGAGGGGGAGUAGGGACUGACAGAGAGGAGAUAGAAUGAAGAGAGAGAGAGGGAGUAGGGGUUGACAGAGAGGAGAUAGAAUGAAGAGAGAGAGAGAGAGUAGGGGCUGACAGAGAGGAGAUAGAAUGAAGAGAGAGAGAGAGAGAGAGGGAGUAGGGGCUGACAGACAGGAGAUAGAAUGAAGAGAGAGAGAGGGAGUAGGGGCUGACAGAGAGGAGAUAGAAUGAAGAGAGAGAGAGAGAGUAGGGGCUGACAGAGAGGAGAUAGAAUGAAGAGAGAGAGAGGGAGUAGGGGCUGACAGAGAGGAGAUAGAAUGAAGAGAGAGAGAGAGACAGAGAGAGGGAGUAGGGGCUGACAGAGAGGAGAUAGAGAGUAGCCAGGGUUAAAAUCUGCUGAGCUGGGACACUAGGGAUGGAGGGAAUGAGGGAGAGAGAGAAAUGGAAUUGAAUUGAG
rnacentral:lncRNA from 1 species